rnacentral:rRNA from 1 species
CGGGUGAGUAAUGCGUGACCAACCUGCCCCAUGCUCCAGAAUAGCUCUUGGAAACGGGUGGUAAUGCUGGAUGCUCCAACUUGACGCAUGUCUGUUGGGAAAGUGUUUAGUGGCAUGGGAUGGGGUCGCGUCCUAUCAGCUUGUAGGCGGGGUAAUGGCCCACCUAGGCUUCGACGGGUAGCCGGCCUGAGAGGGCGGACGGCCACAUUGGGACUGAGAUACGGCCCAGACUCCUACGGGCGGGAGGCAGCAGCG